GUCCCUUCAGGACAUCUGAUAAAAUUGGAAUGAUACAGAGAAGAUUAGCAUGGCCCCUGCGCAAGGAUGACACUCAUAAAUUGAGAAAUGGUCCAAGUUUUU
rnacentral:snRNA from 2 species